rnacentral:rRNA from 1 species
AAUGAACGCUGGCGGCAGGCCUAAAACAUGCAAGUCGAACGCCCUAGCAAUAGGGAGUGGCGCACGGGUGAGUAACAUGUGGGAAUAUGCCUUUUGGUACGGAACAACGUUUGGAAACGAACGCUAAUACCGUAUGGUCCCUCCGGGGUAAAGAUUUAUCGCCAAAAGAUUAGCCCGCACUAGAUUAGCUAGUUGGUAAGGUAAUGGCUUACCAAGGCGACGAUCUAUAGCUGUUCUGAGAGGAAGAUCAGCCACACUGGGACUGAGACACGGCCCAGACUCCUACGGGAGGCAGCAGUUAGGAAUAUUGGACAAUGGGCGCAAGCCUGAUCCAGCCAUGCCGCGUGAGUGAUGAAGGCCUUCGGGUUGUAAAGCUCUUUAGCCGACGAAUAUAAUGACUGUAGUCGGAGAAUAAGCCCCGGCUAACUUCGUGCCAGCAGCCGCCGCAGUAA